CCUACGGGGCGCAGCAGUGAGGAAUAUUGGUCAAUGGACGGAAGUCUGAACCAGCCAUGCCGCGUGCAGGAAGACGGCUCUAUGAGUUGUAAACUGCUUUUGUACAAGGGUAAACCUGAAUACGUGUAUUCAGCUGAAAGUACUGUACGAAUAAGGAUCGGCUAACUCCGUGCCAGCAGCCGCGGUAAUACGGAGGAUCCGAGCGUUAUCCGGAUUCAUUGGGUUUAAAGGGUGCGUAGGUUGUUUUAUAAGUUAGCGGUGAAAUACCGAUGCUCAACAUCGGGGCUGCCGCUAAUACUGUAGGA
rnacentral:rRNA from 1 species